rnacentral:rRNA from 1 species
GUGGGGAAUAUUGGACAAUGGGCGAAAGCCUGAUCCAGCCAUGCCGCGUGUGUGAAGAAGGUCUUCGGAUUGUAAAGCACUUUAAGUUGGGAGGAAGGGCAGUAAGUUAAUACCUUGCUGUUUUGACGUUACCGACAGAAUAAGCACCGGCUAACUUCGUGCCAGCAGCCGCGGUAAUACGAAGGGUGCAAGCGUUAAUCGGAAUUACUGGGCGUAAAGCGCGCGUAGGUGGUUCAGCAAGUUGAAGGUGAAAUCCCCGGGCUCAACCUGGGAACUGCCUCCAAAACUACUGAGCUAGAGUACGGUAGAGGGUAGUGGAAUUUCCUGUGUAGCGGUGAAAUGCGUAGAUAUAGGAAGGAACACCAGUGGCGAAGGCGACUACCUGGACUGAUACUGACACUGAGGUGCGAAAGCGUGGGGAGCAAACAGGAUUAGAAACCCGGGUAGUCC